rnacentral:tRNA from 1 species
GGAGAGAUGACUGAGUGGUUGAAGGUGCUCGCCUGGAAAGUGAGUGAGCGUUAAUAGCGUUCCGAGGGUUCGAAUCCCUCUCUCUCCGCCA